UUAAAUUGAAGAGUUUGAUCAUGGCUCAGAUUGAACGCUGGCGGCAGGCCUAACACAUGCAAGUCGAACGGUAACAGGAAUCAGCUUGCUGAUUUGCUGACGAGUGGCGGACGGGUGAGUAAUGUCUGGGAAACUGCCUGAUGGAGGGGGAUAACUACUGGAAACGGUAGCUAAUACCGCAUAACGUCGCAAGACCAAAGAGGGGGACCUUCGGGCCUCUUGCCAUCGGAUGUGNCCAGAUGGGAUUAGCUAGUAGGUGGGGUAACGGCUCACCUAGGCGACGAUCCCUAGCUGGUCUGAGAGGAUGACCAGNCACACUGGAACUGAGACACGGUCCAGACUCCUACGGGAGGCAGCAGUGGGGAAUAUUGCACAAUGGGCGCAAGCCUGAUGCAGCCAUGCCGCGUGUAUGAAGAAGGCCUUCGGGUUGUAAAGUACUUUCAGCGGGGAGGAAGGGAGUAAAGUUAAUACCUUUGCUCAUUGACGUUACCCGCAGAAGAAGCACCGGCUAACUCCGUGCCAGCAGCCGCGGUAAUACGGAGGGUGCAAGCGUUAAUCGGAAUUACUGGGCGUAAAGCGCACGCAGGCGGUUUGUUAAGUCAGAUGUGAAAUCCCCGGGCUCAACCUGGGAACUGCAUCUGAUACUGGCAAGCUUGAGUCUCGUAGAGGGGGGUAGAAUUCCAGGUGUAGCGGUGAAAUGCGUAGAGAUCUGGAGGAAUACCGGUGGCGAAGGCGGCCCCCUGGACGAAGACUGACGCUCAGGUGCGAAAGCGUGGGGAGCAAACAGGAUUAGAUACCC
rnacentral:rRNA from 1 species